CAGCUGUUACAACAUAGGUUACAGAUUGCCUCCAGCUAUAGGGCUUUUACAUUACUACUGUCCUUAUUGCUGCUGAUUUCACUGCCGGCUUCCUCACUGUCAGGGACCCAGGUAAGACUUACUGUUUCGAAAGGUGACUGCAGCCAAAGUGUUCAUCUAAUUUGCAGGAUAAAGAAAGAGGCUGAGAUCUGGAUGUUAGUUCUAGUUCAUUUAGCGAGAGAUUAUUAAAGAUCUUAUUUGAUGAAACUCCCAGUUUCCCCUCUAGUGGUUCCUGGUAUCCAACCAGGGUGAUAAUUCUCCUCAGGAUAGAAAUUAGGGGGCAACUCUUCUUUUAGAGACUCAGGAAAUAAAAUGUAAAUAAAAACAUAAAAGUAAUAAAAAUAAUAAAUCAGUAUGGAACUGAAUCAUUGGCAAUACAGACAGUAGACAAACCUGGGCCCUGUGCAUAGCCCUGUCCAAUUAGGGAACAAACAUCGGUAGGCAGAAUUUCCACAGAGACAUUCUGACAAUGAUGUAUAUGCAGUGUUUUGCUUUGGACAAGUCUGUGACAGGAAGAGAAUGCUGCAGGUAGUGGACUAAAACAAAAGGUUUUAUUCAGGAAGCACUAGGUGACUAAUCGUCCCACUAGGUGACCAAGCAUUCCAAGCCAGGUGCUGUCAGUACAAAUCCUGGCUGUUCUUGUCAUCCUCAUUAAUGAGCAGGGAAUUAUCCAUUGCUAUGCUGUCCCAAUGGUGAUUAAAGCUAGACGCCUAAAUAGCAGCGCAUUUCCCUGGUAAAUGCUCUGAGCGCCAAUUGAGUAACUGUACCAUGGAUAUGAUUGACAGAGAUUGAAGACUAUGGAGAAUUGAGAGAUAGUGUCCAAUUAUCAGUGUGUAUGGUGAGCAUGAAGUUACAGGAAGAGUUGUGUAGGAAUCCCAGCAUGGUAUUGGCAUAGUAUUAACAUCCACUAACACAGCUCCACAUCCUCAACAGCAGGGAUCAGUUUGGAAGCUGAUCAAGGCACACCAGUUACUCAGUUUAGAGACGAAAGAUUCCAUGGUGCAGAUCUGGGAGUCCUUCCACUGCCACCAGGGACUCUGCUUCUGACAGGAAGGCAGGACUUCUUCAGAGGUGACUUCCGUCAUGCCAGCUGCUCGUCAAGUGCCCUGGGUUCCAGCAUCACUAAAACAUGUUAUUCAUGGAUGGACUGGAGUUGUUGGUCUCUUUCAUAAUGUAAGUAGCCUUUAUUUACGCUUAACUCCUAUCCUUAUGCUGUUCCUUUUGCCCAGUUUUCUGCCCUUCCUCCUGAUCUCUGUUGAUAGACCAUGGAUGCAGCCUUUAGAAUCUUAACCAAGAAGCUGCCUGGUAUUCCCGAGCAUUGUAUCUCCUAUAGAGGGGUGAAAAUCCACAACACAAUAUAUUCCAAGGCCGCAUGAAGCCUUUCCU